AACUCCCUAAAACAUGAAAACCAUAUAAAUAAAUGAAAGUUCAGAAUAAAAGCAUGAAAGGUUAAGAAGGACUGAAGCUUUUACUCCGGUGCCAAUUCCAGCUAACUUAGCUGACGCUUUCAUGAUUUCAUGGAAUAUCUUGCGGACUGUCCGUCUCUAGUUUUUCAUUGGAUUCUAUUUUGAGUAAUUGCCUUUCCAUUCACAAGACAAGAUGGUCGUGUCGACCGACCCUUUUCGGAUGCAAACUUUGGAGUGAACCUGAAACUUGUAUUUCCAUUUAAAGAAGAUUAGAUGUUUGUUGUUUUUUUCAAUCUGGGUAAUCAACGACAAUCACAGGCCGGUGUUUACGUUUGACCCAGCUUUUCAAAAGAGUAUAUUGAUGUUUGUUUGGGUGGCGCGGCUGUACAUACUCAUAUGGAGAGAGUCCCACACCGACUGGAGAAGAAGCAGAUUGUUGACGGGGUGAUAAAUAAAAGGCCCAGACGGGCGCCAGGGAGAAAGCCAUGAUCCUUCAGGCAGUUUACGGGGAUGUGAUGAGCGGUCAAAGCUCGCAUUUAAACAUGCGAGAUGGGUGCCCGGCCCAAAGCCUGGUUACGACAACCCGGGCGCUCCCAUAUUUACCGAUCUGAUCCCUUCUUUCUUUCUUUCUUUGCUUUUCUGCCGAGUCCCUUGUAACCGGAUAAAAAGCCUUUUUUGUUUUUUUGUUUUCUUUUAAAAAAUGAUUCUUCUAUUGGAUCCAUUCCAUCCUAUCCAACCCAAAACUUGUUUUUUUUUUCCCCCUGUUGGUUUCAGUCCACGAUAAUGACUACCUCCUCAAUUUGC